rnacentral:rRNA from 1 species
CCUACGGGUGGCUGCAGUGAGGAAUAUUGGUCAAUGGGCGAGAGCCUGAACCAGCCAAGUCGCGUGAGGGACGACGGUCCUAUGGCUUGUAAACCUCUUUUGUCGGGGACCAAAGGCGCCCACGGUUGGGCGGCUGAGUUUACCCGCAGAAAAAGCAUCGGCUAACACCGUGCCAGCAGCCGCGGUAAUACGGAGGAUGCAAGCUUUAUCCGGAUUUAUUGGGUUUAAAGGGUGAGUAGGCGGACAGUCAAGUCAGCGGUAAAAAUGCGGUGCACAACGCCGUACAGCCGUUGAAACUGGCAGGCUUGAGUGGGCGAGAAGUAUGCGGAAUGCGUGGUGUAGCGGUGAAAUGCAUAGAUAUCACGCAGAACUCCGAUUGCGAAGGCAGCAUACCGGUGCCCUACUGACGCUGAGGCACGAAAGCGUGGGUAUCGAACAGGAUUAGAUACCCGUGUAGUC